AGUAACGCGUGGGUAACCUGCCUCAUACAGGGGGAUAACAGUUAGAAAUGACUGCUAAUACCGCAUAAGCGCACAGUGCUGCAUGGCACAGUGUGAAAAACUCCGGUGGUAUGAGAUGGACCCGCGUCUGAUUAGCUAGUUGGUGGGGUAACGGCCUACCAAGGCGACGAUCAGUAGCCGGCCUGAGAGGGUGAACGGCCACAUUGGGACUGAGACACGGCCCAGACUCCUACGGGAGGCAGCAUG
rnacentral:rRNA from 1 species